rnacentral:other from 1 species
ACGAGGCUGCGCGACGCGACAGGAGACUGCAUCCCCGGGGCCUUAUCGAUCUCAAAGGGAGCUGUCCCUGGGAAGGUCCGUGGACUUUCCCACAACGGCGCCCACCUACGUUGUAGGUUUCCCGGGAUCGAUUUCUCCACCGGUCGAGGUGGCUUCGUC